AUGGCGCAGGACGACCCGGUUGUCUCUGCGCAGUGGCUGCAGCAGCACCUAGGGCAGCCCGAUAUCAAGAUACUGGAUGCUUCCUGGUACAUGCCACACGAGAGCAGGGACGCAUGGCAAGAAUACCAGGUGGCCCAUAUUCCUGGCGCGCUCUACUUCGACAUCGAUGGAAUUUCUGAUCGGACGACUCAUUUGCCACACAUGCUGCCAUUGGAAGAGGCAUUCGCAGCAGCGGUUUCUGCACUUGGUAUCAGUAACCAUGAUAAAGUCAUUGUUUAUGAUGGGAAGGGGUUCUACAGCGCGCCUCGUGUUUGGUGGAUGUUCAGAAUCCUUGGACAUGAUAAAGUUUGGGUCUUAGAUGGAGGUUUCCCUCAGUGGCAAGCUUCUGGAUUCAAUAUUGGAAGCAGCUGCCCUGAUGAUGCAGUUCUGAAAUCCAAAGCUGCUAAUAUUGCUGUUGAAACAGCUUAUAAUGGUGAAUUGGCAAAUGCUGCCACAUUUCAGACAGAGUUUCGACAUCAGCUAUUGUGGACACUAGAAAAGGUCAAACACAAUGUAGCUGCUAAGGCUCACCAAGUAGUUGAUGCCCGAGUAAAGGGCAGAUUUGAUGGUGUAAUGCCAGAACCAAGGGAAGGAGUUAGAAGUGGGCAUAUACCUGGAACUAAAUGUGUUCCGUUCCCUGAGAUGUCUGAUGGUGCACAAACGCUCCUCCCUGCAGAUGAGCUAUCUAAAAAGUUCGAGCAAGCAGGCAUUUCCCUUGAUGGCCCGAUUGUCCUCACAUGUGCAUCUGGUGUAACUGCAUGCAUACUUGCCCUGGGGCUUUAUAGAAUUGGGAAGCAUGACGUUCCGGUUUACGACGGAUCUUGGACAGAAUGGGAAGCGCUGCCAGAUAAUGAUUACCCAAUAGUUACUUCCACUGGCUCUUAA
rnacentral:rRNA from 1 species